CACCCAUUCACAGAGGUAGAUCGCCGUCAAUAUCCAUAUCAAUAGAUAUCAGGUCAGCCAGUGAGACGAUGGGGGAUAAGCUUCAUCGUCGAGAGGGAAACAGCCCAGAUCAUCAGCUAAGGCCCCUAAAUGACCGCUCAGUGAUGAAGGAAGUACGAGUGCAAAGACAGCCAGGAGGUUUGCCUAGAAGCAGCCAACCUUGAAAGAGUGUGUAAUAGUUCAUUGAUCGAGCGCUCUUGCGCCAAAGAUGAACGGGACUAAGCCAUCUGCCGAAGCUGUGAGAUGUAAAAAUACAUUGGUAGGUG
rnacentral:ncRNA from 1 species